GCGAGUGAAGCGGCAAGAGCUCAGAUUUGAAAUCUCACCUAGUGUGCGAGUUGUAAAUUGCAGGUUGGAGUCUCGGGUUAGACGUGUGUGCAAGUCCCUUGGAACAGGGUGCCACUGAGGGUGAGAGCCCCGUAUCGUGCAUGUCGACACCUGUGAGGCCCUUCUGACGAGUCGAGUUGUUUGGGAAUGCAGCUCUAAGUGGGUGGUAAAUUCCAUCUAAGGCUAAAUAUUGGCGAGAGACCGAUAGCGAACAAGUACUGUGAAGGAAAGAUGAAAAGCACUUUGAAAAGAGAGUGAAACAGCACGUGAAAUUGUUGAAAGGGAAGGGUAUUGGGCUCGACAUGGGAUUUACGCAUCGUUGCCUCUCGUGGGCGGCGCUCUGGGUUUUUCCUGGGCCAGCAUCGGUUUUCGUUGCAGGAUAAGGACAAUUGGAAUGUGGCUCCUCGGAGUGUUAUAGCCUUUUGUAGAUGCUGCGUAUGGGGACCGAGGGCUGCGGCGGACUCGUUUCGUCUCGGAUGCUGGCACAACGGCGCAAUACCGCCC
rnacentral:rRNA from 1 species